AGUGAACGCUGGCGGUAGGCCUAACACAUGCAAGUCGAACGGCAGCACAGUAAGAGCUUGCUCUUACGGGUGGCGAGUGGCGGACGGGUGAGGAAUACAUCGGAAUCUACUUUUUCGUGGGGGAUAACGUAGGGAAACUUACGCUAAUACCGCAUACGACCUACGGGUGAAAGCAGGGGAUCUUCGGACCUUGCGCGAUUGAAUGAGCCGAUGUCGGAUUAGCUAGUUGGCGGGGUAAAGGCCCACCAAGGCGACGAUCCGUAGCUGGUCUGAGAGGAUGAUCAGCCACACUGGAACUGAGACACGGUCCAGACUCCUACGGGAGGCGGCAGUGGGGUAUAUUGGACAAUGGGCGCAAGCCUGAUCCAGCCAUACCGCGUGGGUGAAGAAGGCCUUCGGGUUGUAAAGCCCUUUUGUUGGGAAAGAAAAGCAGCAGGUUAAUACCCCGCUGUUCUGACGGUACCCAAAGAAUAAGCACCGGCUAACUUCGUG
rnacentral:rRNA from 1 species